rnacentral:rRNA from 1 species
GUGUCAGCAGCCGCGGUAAUACAGAGGGUGCAAGCGUUGUUCGGAAUUACUGGGCGUAAAGCGCGCGCAGGCGGAUCCUGUAAGUCUGGAGUGAAAUUUCACCGCUCAACGGUGAAGCUGCUUUGGAUACUGCGGAUCUGGAGACCGGUAGAGGCUGGUAGAAUUGCAGGUGUAGCGGUGGAAUGCGUAGAGAUCUGCAAGAAUACCCGUGGCGAAGGCGGCCAGCUGGGCCGGUUCUGACGCUGAGGCGCGAAAGCGUGGGGAGCAAACAGGAUUAGAAACCCCUGUAGUCC